UUAAGCGACUAAGCGUACACGGUGGAUGCCCUGGCAGUCAGAGGCGAUGAAGGACGUGCUAAUCUGCGAUAAGCGUCGGUAAGGUGAUAUGAACCGUUAUAACCGGCGAUUUCCGAAUGGGGAAACCCAGUGUGAUUCGACACACUAUCAUUAACUGAAUCCAUAGGUUAAUGAGGCGAACCGGGGGAACUGAAACAUCUAAGUACCCCGAGGAAAAGAAAUCAACCGAGAUUCCCCCAGUAGCGGCGAGCGAACGGGGAGCAGCCCAGAGCCUGAAUCAGUGUGUGUGUUAGUGGAAGCGUCUGGAAAGGCGCGCGAUACAGGGUGACAGCCCCGUACACAAAAAUGCACAUGCUGUGAGCUCGAUGAGUAGGGCGGGACACGUGGUAUCCUGUCUGAAUAUGGGGGGACCAUCCUCCAAGGCUAAAUACUCCUGACUGACCGAUAGUGAACCAGUACCGUGAGGGAAAGGCGAAAAGAACCCCGGCGAGGGGAGUGAAAAAGAACCUGAAACCGUGUACGUACAAGCAGUGGGAGCCUCUUUAUGGGGUGACUGCGUACCUUUUGUAUAAUGGGUCAGCGACUUAUAUUCUGUAGCAAGGUUAACCGAAUAGGGGAGCCGAAGGGAAACCGAGUCUUAACUGGGCGUUAAGUUGCAGGGUAUAGACCCGAAACCCGGUGAUCUAGCCAUGGGCAGGUUGAAGGUUGGGUAACACUAACUGGAGGACCGAACCGACUAAUGUUGAAAAAUUAGCGGAUGACUUGUGGCUGGGGGUGAAAGGCCAAUCAAACCGGGAGAUAGCUGGUUCUCCCCGAAAGCUAUUUAGGUAGCGCCUCGUGAAUUCAUCUCCGGGGGUAGAGCACUGUUUCGGCAAGGGGGUCAUCCCGACUUACCAACCCGAUGCAAACUGCGAAUACCGGAGAAUGUUAUCACGGGAGACACACGGCGGGUGCUAACGUCCGUCGUGAAGAGGGAAACAACCCAGACCGCCAGCUAAGGUCCCAAAGUCAUGGUUAAGUGGGAAACGAUGUGGGAAGGCCCAGACAGCCAGGAUGUUGGCUUAGAAGCAGCCAUCAUUUAAAGAAAGCGUAAUAGCUCACUGGUCGAGUCGGCCUGCGCGGAAGAUGUAACGGGGCUAAACCAUGCACCGAAGCUGCGGCAGCGACGCUUAUGCGUUGUUGGGUAGGGGAGCGUUCUGUAAGCCUGUGAAGGUGUGCUGUGAGGCAUGCUGGAGGUAUCAGAAGUGCGAAUGCUGACAUAAGUAACGAUAAAGCGGGUGAAAAGCCCGCUCGCCGGAAGACCAAGGGUUCCUGUCCAACGUUAAUCGGGGCAGGGUGAGUCGACCCCUAAGGCGAGGCCGAAAGGCGUAGUCGAUGGGAAACAGGUUAAUAUUCCUGUACUUGGUGUUACUGCGAAGGGGGGACGGAGAAGGCUAUGUUGCCGGGCGACGGUUGUCCCGGUUUAAGCGUGUAGGCUGGUUUUCCAGGCAAAUCCGGAAAAUCAAGGCUGAGGCGUGAUGACGAGGCACUACGGUGCUGAAGCAACAAAUGCCCUGCUUCCAGGAAAAGCCUCUAAGCAUCAGGUAACAUCAAAUCGUACCCCAAACCGACACAGGUGGUCAGGUAGAGAAUACCAAGGCGCUUGAGAGAACUCGGGUGAAGGAACUAGGCAAAAUGGUGCCGUAACUUCGGGAGAAGGCACGCUGAUAUGUAGGUGAAGCGACUUGCUCGUGGAGCUGAAAUCAGUCGAAGAUACCAGCUGGCUGCAACUGUUUAUUAAAAACACAGCACUGUGCAAACACGAAAGUGGACGUAUACGGUGUGACGCCUGCCCGGUGCCGGAAGGUUAAUUGAUGGGGUCAGCGCAAGCGAAGCUCUUGAUCGAAGCCCCGGUAAACGGCGGCCGUAACUAUAACGGUCCUAAGGUAGCGAAAUUCCUUGUCGGGUAAGUUCCGACCUGCACGAAUGGCGUAAUGAUGGCCAGGCUGUCUCCACCCGAGACUCAGUGAAAUUGAACUCGCUGUGAAGAUGCAGUGUACCCGCGGCAAGACGGAAAGACCCCGUGAACCUUUACUAUAGCUUGACACUGAACAUUGAGCCUUGAUGUGUAGGAUAGGUGGGAGGCUUUGAAGUGUGGACGCCAGUCUGCAUGGAGCCGACCUUGAAAUACCACCCUUUAAUGUUUGAUGUUCUAACGUUGACCCGUAAUCCGGGUUGCGGACAGUGUCUGGUGGGUAGUUUGACUGGGGCGGUCUCCUCCUAAAGAGUAACGGAGGAGCACGAAGGUUGGCUAAUCCUGGUCGGACAUCAGGAGGUUAGUGCAAUGGCAUAAGCCAGCUUGACUGCGAGCGUGACGGCGCGAGCAGGUGCGAAAGCAGGUCAUAGUGAUCCGGUGGUUCUGAAUGGAAGGGCCAUCGCUCAACGGAUAAAAGGUACUCCGGGGAUAACAGGCUGAUACCGCCCAAGAGUUCAUAUCGACGGCGGUGUUUGGCACCUCGAUGUCGGCUCAUCACAUCCUGGGGCUGAAGUAGGUCCCAAGGGUAUGGCUGUUCGCCAUUUAAAGUGGUACGCGAGCUGGGUUUAGAACGUCGUGAGACAGUUCGGUCCCUAUCUGCCGUGGGCGCUGGAGAACUGAGGGGGGCUGCUCCUAGUACGAGAGGACCGGAGUGGACGCAUCACUGGUGUUCGGGUUGUCAUGCCAAUGGCACUGCCCGGUAGCUAAAUGCGGAAGAGAUAAGUGCUGAAAGCAUCUAAGCACGAAACUUGCCCCGAGAUGAGUUCUCCCUGACUCCUUGAGAGUCCUGAAGGAACGUUGAAGACGACGACGUUGAUAGGCCGGGUGUGUAAGCGCAGCGAUGCGUUGAGCUAACCGGUACUAAUGAACCGUGAGGCUUAACCUU
rnacentral:rRNA from 1 species